AGUGAACGCUGGCGGCGUGCUUAACACAUGCAAGUCGAACGAGAACGGGUUAUAGCUUGCUAUAAUUGUCAGCUAAGUGGCGCACGGGUGAGUAAUGUAUAGGUAAUAUGCCUCUUACUAAGGGAUAACAAAUCGAAACGUUUGCUAAUACCUUAUACUCCUUAUUAACAUAAGUUAAUAAGGGAAAGAUUUAUUGGUAAGAGAUUAGCCUGUAUUGUAUCAGUUAGUUGGUGGGGUAAGGGCUUACCAAGACUAUGACACAUAACUGGUUUGAGAGGAUGAUCAGUCACACUGGAACGGAGACACGGUCCAGACUCCUACGGGAGGCAGCAGUGGGGAAUAUUGCACAAUGGACCAAAGUCUGAUGCAGCAACGCCGCGUGGAGGAUGACACAUUUCGGUGCGUAAACUCCUUUUAUAUGAGAAGAUAAUGACGGUAUUAUAUGAAUAAGCACCGGCUAACUCCGUGCCAGCCGCCGCCGUAA
rnacentral:rRNA from 1 species